GUAGCAAAUUUGCAGCUAUCUGAAUGUGGUUUUCAGGGAGUAAAGCUCUUCGGGCAUCAAGACACCUCUGAAAAAGCUCUUGAGCUUCUUUCAAUUUUCCAAGCGACUGAAGGGUCAAGGCCAGGCGUUCAGCUGCAAUUACAGUCUCUGGAGAAUUCCAACCCUUUGCUAAUUCCAUAAUAUGCAGGAUCUUCCUCAGAACAUUCUCAGCCUCUUCGAUCCGGUGAGUUGUGAUGUAUAUCUGAGCUAGCUGUUGCAUCCUCUUGGUACAUAUCAUUGAUUCACCUUGACCACCAUCCUCCAAAAUCCGAAUAGAAUCGCGAAUCAGAGCCUCUGAAUCCUUGUAUUUACCCUGAAGAGACAGCACUGUUCCCAGAUGAUACAUGGUAUCAGCAUAGUCUAGAUGAGCCUCCCCUAAGACACGCCUCUUUAUCUUUAAAGCACGCUCAUA
rnacentral:misc_RNA from 1 species